AACGCACAUUGCACCUCUCGGUAUUCCGUGAGGUAUGCCUGUUCGAGCGUCAUAACGUGCCCUCAAGCUCUGCUUGGUGUUGGGUGUUUUGUUCCACCUCUGCGUGUGAACUCGCCUUAAAACAAUUGGCAGCCGGCGUACUGGUUUCGGAGCGCAGCACAUUUUGCGCUUUAGAUUCAUGUACAGCGGCAUCCAAGAAGCCUUCUUUAAUAAAUUUGACCUCGGAUCAGGUAGGGAUACCCGCUGAACUUAA
rnacentral:misc_RNA from 1 species